rnacentral:rRNA from 1 species
UGGGGAAUCUUAGACAAUGGGGGAAACCCUGAUCUAGCCAUGCCGCGUGAGCGAUGAAGGCCUUAGGGUUGUAAAGCUCUUUCAGCUGGGAAGAUAAUGACGGUACCAGCAGAAGAAGCCCCGGCUAACUCCGUGCCAGCAGCCGCGGUAAUACGGAGGGGGCUAGCGUUGUUCGGAAUUACUGGGCGUAAAGCGCACGUAGGCGGAUUAGUCAGUCAGAGGUGAAAUCCCAGGGCUCAACCCUGGAACUGCCUUUGAUACUGCUAGUCUUGAGGUCGAGAGAGGUGAGUGGAAUUCCGAGUGUAGAGGUGAAAUUCGUAGAUAUUCGGAGGAACACCAGUGGCGAAGGCGGCUCACUGGCUCGAUACUGACGCUGAGGUGCGAAAGCGU